UGAGUACGAGAUGCUACGGCAUCGAAGCAGUCUAUGUCAUACUUCCAAGAAAAGCUUGCAAUGUCAUAAACAAAUAAUGCCUGUACCAUAACCGACACAGGUGGGUAGGUAGAGUAUACUAAGGGGCGCGAGAUAACUCUCUCUAAGGAACUCGGCAAAAUGACUCCGUAACUUCGGGAGAAGGAGUGCCUUAUUUUUAUAAGGUUGCAAUAACAAGAUCCAAGCAACUGUUUACCAAAAACACAGGUCUCCGCUAAGUCGUAAGACGAUGUAUGGGGGCUGACGCCUGCCCAGUGCCAGAAGGUUAAAGAAGUUGGUUAGCAUUAGCGAAGCUGAUAACUGAAGCCCUGGUGAACGGCGGCCGUAACAAUAACGGUCCUAAGGUAGCGAAAUUCCUUGUCGGGUAAGUUCCGACCCGCACGAAAGGCGUAAUGAUUUGGAUACUGUCUCGGAGAGGGGCUCGGUGAAAUAGACUUGUCUGUGAAGAUGCGGACUACCUGCACCUGGACAGAAAGACCCUAUGAAGCUUUACUGUAACUUGAGAUUGAAAUUGGACUUUAUCUGCGCAGUAUAGGUGGGAGACGUUGAAAAUAUUCUUGCGGGAAUAUUGGAGUCAUCAGUGAGAUACCACUCUUAUAAUGUUAGAUUUCUAACUUUGUAUCAUUAUCUGGUCAAAGAACAGUUUCAGGCGGGCAGUUUGACUGGGGCGGUCGCCUCCCAAACGGUAACGGAGGCGCACAAAGGUUUCCUCUGAACGUGUAGAAAUCGUAUCUAGAGUGUAAAGGCAUAAGGAAGCUUGACUGUGAGACCUACAAGUCGAGCAGGGACGAAAGUCGGUCUUAGUGAUCUGACGGUGCUGAGUGGAAAGGCCGUCACUCAACGGAUAAAAGUUACUCUAGGAUAACAGGCUGAUCUCCCCCAAGAGUUCACAUCGACGGGGAGGUUUGGCACCUCGAUGUCGGCUCAUCGCAUCCUGGGGCGGUAGUACGUCCCAAGGGUUGGGCUGUUCGCCCAUGAAAGCGGUACGCGAGCUGGGUUCAGAACGUCGUGAGACAGUUCGGUCCAUAUCCGGUGUAGGCGUUAGAAUAUUGAGAGGAGCCUUCUUUAGUACGAGAGGACCGGGAAGGACAUACCUCUGGUGUACCAGUUAUCGUGCCAACGGUAAACGCUGGGUAGCCAUGUAUGGAGAGGAUAACCGCUGAAAGCAUCUAAGUGGGAAGCCCACCUCAAGAUAAGUAUUC
rnacentral:rRNA from 1 species